rnacentral:rRNA from 1 species
CCUGGUUGAUCCUGCCAGUAGUCAUAUGCUUGUCUCAAAGAUUAAGCCAUGCAUGUCUAAGUACAUACCGUAUUAAGGUGAAACCGCGAAUGGCUCAUUAAAUCAGUUAUGAUUCAUUGGAUGUUGACCAAUUACAUGGAUAACUGUGGUAAUUCUAGAGCUAAUACAUGCCGAAAAGCUUCAUCCUCGUGGUGGAGCGCAUUUAUUAGACCAAGACCAAAGGUGGCAACACCUUACGGUGGUGACUCUGGAUAACUGCAGCUGACCGCAUGGCCUCGUGCCGGCGGCAUAUCCUUCGAGUGUCUGCCUUAUCAACUUUCGAUGGUAGGUUAUAUGCCUACCAUGGUUGUAACGGGUAACGGGGAAUCAGGGUUCGAUUCCGGAGAGGGAGCCUGAGAGACGGCUACCACAUCCAAGGAAGGCAGCAGGCGCGCAAAUUACCCACUCUCAGAACGAGGAGGUAGUGACGAAAAAUAACAAUACGGGCUUCGCUUAUGCGUUCUCGUAAUUGGAAUGAGUACAGUUUAAAUCCUUUAACGAGGAUCAAUUGGAGGGCAAGUCUGGUGCCAGCAGCCGCGGUAAUUCCAGCUCCAAUAGCGUAUAUUAAAGUUGUUGUGGUUUAAAACGCCGUUAGAUUGGACUCUCAGCUCCAUGUAUGGCGGUCCACCUGAUGGUGGUUCACUGUCAUGCUGAGCGAUUAUCGCAUUGUCGCUGGUGUUCUUAAUUGAGUGUCGCAGGCGAUCGAUACGUUUACUUUGAAAAAAUUACGAGGCUCAAAUGCAGGACAUUAUCGCCUGAAUAACUGUUGCAUGGAAUAUGGAAUAGGACCUUGGUUCUGUUCUGUUGGUCUUCGGAAUCGAGGUAAUGAUUAAGAGGGACGGACGGGGACAUUAGAUACUGCGGCGAUAGGGUGAAAUUCUUGGACCGCCGCAUGACUACUAAAGCGAAGCAUUUGUCAAGAACGUUUUCCAUCAAUCAAGAACGAAAGUAGCAGGUUCGAAGGCGAUCCGAUACCGCCCUAUGUUCUACCCUAAACGCUGCCAACACGCAAUCAGCCAGAGUUUAUGUAUGACUCGGCUGGCGGCUUCGGGAAACCAAAGUUCUUCGGUUCCCAGGGGACGUAUGGGUGCAAAGGCUGAACGUAAGCGAAUUGAACGGAAGGGCAACCACCAGGAGUGGGAGUGCCUGCGGCUAAUUGACUAACAACAAACUGGGAAAAAACUCACCCCGGUCCGGACCUGGACGGAUGACAGAUUAAGAGCUCUUUCUUGAUUCAGGUGGGUGGUGGCUGGAGCCGUUCAGUUCGUUAGUGUGGGGAAGCGAUGUGUCUGGUUAAUUCCGAUAACGAACGAGAACUCUAGCCUACUAAAUAGUGGUGGAUACCUGUCGGUUUCCGACGCUUCUUAGAGGCGGACAACGGCGUUUUCAGCCGCUAGGAAAAAGAAGCAAUAAAACAGAGUCGUGUCCGGCCCAGCCCUUAGGUCCGGGGCCGCACGCGCGCUACACGAAAAAUCAAGCGUGCAUGGUGUCUACCUACUCCCGACAGGCAGCGGGAACACGAGUGGAAAACUUUUCGUGUAUUGGGAUUGGGGGAUUGUAAUUAUUGUCCAUGAACGAGGAAUUCCAAGUCAAAGGCACAAGUCACGAGCUUGUGUGGAUACGUCCCCUGCCCUUUGUCACACACCAGCCCGUCGCUACUACGCGAUUGGAUGUUUUAGUGAGGUCUUUGGUACUGGCCAACGGAGCUAUCCUCGUGGUGGCCAUGUUGGCGGCCGGAAGAAAUGACCCAA